CGCCCCCGCCUCAAAAUUUCCCCCCCCCCCGCCUCAAAAUUUUCAUUCUCCCCUCUUCACACUUCAAAGCACCCUCACCCCGUUCUCCUCUCCCUCACGUCACAGGCCAGGCUUAGUCUAAAGUUGUCGUAGCUUGUUUAAUGCAAGGUAUAGUUUGGUCCGUUUUCAUCUUGUAAUGAGAAAUAGCAUUGUCAUUGCGUUUCCUUUGAGAUUGAGACCAAACAUUAGCAAUACUCUACUACAUCACAAGUUCCGGCCAACCUGCUUUCACAGCCAUGAAGGUACGCACACCACAGCUUUAACGCUUUCAAUAGCCUAGGGCACUUCAUUCGUCGCAUGUUCUUGUUCCUCCCCUCUCUCUCUCUCUGACAUACCAUUAGUUGUGUGCCCUACCCCGCUCCUCAAACAAAGCCCAUGGCGCUUCAUUUCGAGGUUCAACUCCCCAUCUAUCUAUUUAUCUAUCAAUCUAUC